GACGAACGCUGGCGGCGUGCUUAACACAUGCAAGUCGAACGGAAAGGCCCUGCUUUUGUGGGGUGCUCGAGUGGCGAACGGGUGAGUAACACGUGAGUAACCUGCCCUUGACUUUGGGAUAACUUCAGGAAACUGGGGCUAAUACCGGAUAGGAGCUCCUGCUGCAUGGUGGGGGUUGGAAAGUUUCGGCGGUUGGGGAUGGACUCGCGGCUUAUCAGCUUGUUGGUGGGGUAGUGGCUUACCAAGGCUUUGACGGGUAGCCGGCCUGAGAGGGUGACCGGCGAGAUGGGGAGAGAGAUGCGGAACGGACGACGGGGGGAGGCAGGAGUGGGGAAUGGGGGACGAGGGGCUGAGGGCUGAUGGAGGCUCGCGGCUGGGGGGAGGAGGGCGUGAGGGUAGGAAAAAGCUAACGCGUGGGACGAAGCGGGAGUGAAGGGGAUGAGUAGAGGAGGAAGGACAAACUACGU
rnacentral:rRNA from 1 species